CCUACGGGAGGCAGCAGUAGGGAAUCUUCCACAAUGGGCGAAAGCCUGAUGGAGCAACGCCGCGUGGGUGAAGAAGGUCUUCGGAUCGUAAAACCCUGUUGUUAGAGAAGAAAGUGCGUGAGAGUAACUGUUCACGUUUCGACGGUAUCUAACCAGAAAGCCACGGCUAACUACGUGCCAGCAGCCGCGGUAAUACGUAGGUGGCAAGCGUUAUCCGGAUUUAUUGGGCGUAAAGGGAACGCAGGCGGUCUUUUAAGUCUGAUGUGAAAGCCUUCGGCUUAACCGGAGUAGUGCAUUGGAAACUGGGAGACUUGAGUGCAGAAGAGGAGAGUGGAACUCCAUGUGUAGCGGUGAAAUGCGUAGAUAUAUGGAAGAACACCAGUGGCGAAAGCGGCUCUCUGGACUGAAACUGACGUUGAGGCUCGAAAGCGUGGGGAGCAAACAGGAUUAGAUACCCUUGUAGUC
rnacentral:rRNA from 1 species